rnacentral:rRNA from 1 species
UUCCGGUUGAUCCCGCCGGACCCGACCGCUAUCGGAUCGAGAUUUAGCCAUGCGAGUUGAACGUUCCUUGAUUGCAGGGAGCGUAGCAUACGGCUCAGUAACACGUAGUCAACCUGCCCUGGAGACAUGGAUAACCCCGGGAAACUGGGACCAAUCCGUGAUAGGUCACUUCAUCUGGAAGGAGAGGUGGCCCAAAGGGGAAUUGUGGGCUUCCACUUUUUUCGCUCCAGGAUGGGACUGCGGCCGAUCAGGCUGUUGGCGGGGUAAUGGCCCACCAAACCUGUAACCGGUACGGGCCUUGAGAGAGGUGGCCCGGAGAUGGACACUGAGACAAGGGUCCAGGUCCUACGGGGCGCAGCAGGCGCGAAACCUUCGCAAUGCGCGAAAGCGUGACGAGGUUAAUCCGAGUGGCUUCCGCUUAGGAAGUCUUUUGCCGACUCUAAAAAGGUCGGAGAAUAAGGGGAGGGCAAGUCUGGUGUCAGCCGCCGCGGUAAAACCAGCUCCUCGAGUGGUCGGGGCGAUUAUUGGGCCUAAAGCAUCCGUAGCCGGUUCCGUAGGUCUCCUGCAAAAUCCAGUCGCUCAACGAUUGGCCCGCAGGAGAUACCGCGGGACUAGGAGGCGGGAGAGGUGGACGGUACUCCACGUGUAGGGGUAAAAUCCUUUGAUCCGUGGAAGACCACCAGUGGCGAAGGCGGUCCACCAGAACGCGCUCGACGGUGAGGGAUGAAAGCUGGGGGAGCGAACCGGAUUAGAUACCCGGGUAGUCCCAG